GACGAACGCUGGCGGCGUGCUUAACACAUGCAAGUCGAACGAUGAAGCCUAGCUUGCUAGGUGGAUUAGUGGCGAACGGGUGAGUAAUACGUGAGUAACCUACCUUUAACUCUGGGAUAAGCCCGGGAAACUGGGUCUAAUACCGGAUACGACCAAUCUCCGCAUGGGGUGUUGGUGGAAAGCGUUAUGUAGUGGUUAUAGGUGGGCUCACGGCCUAUCAGCUUGUUGGUGAGGUAACGGCUCACCAAGGCGACGACGGGUAGCCGGCCUGAGAGGGUGACCGGCCACACUGGGACUGAGACACGGCCCAGACUCCUACGGGAGGCAGCAGUGGGGAAUAUUGCACAAUGGGCGCAAGCCUGAUGCAGCGACGCCGCGUGAGGGAUGACGGCCUUCGGGUUGUAAACCUCUGUUAGCAGGGAAGAAGAGAGAUUGACGGUACCUGCAGAGAAAGCGCCGGCUAACUACGUGCCAGCAGCCGCGGUAAUACGUAGGGCGCGAGCGUUGUCCGGAAUUAUUGGGCGUAAAGAGCUUGUAGGCGGUUUGUCGCGUCUGCUGUGAAGGCCGGAGCUUAACUCCGUGUAUUGCAGUGGGUACGGGCAGACUAGAGUGCAGUAGGGGAGACUGGAAUUCCUGGUGUAGCGGUGGAAUGCGCAGAUAUCAGGAGGAACACCGAUGGCGAAGGCAGGUCUCUGGGCUGUAACUGACGCUGAGAAGCGAAAGCAUGGGGAGCGAACAGGAUUAGAUACCCUGGUAGUCCAUGCCGUAAACGUUGGGCACUAGGUGUGGGGAACAUUCCACGUUUUCCGCGCCGUAGCUAACGCAUUAAGUGCCCCGCCUGGGGAGUACGGCCGCAAGGCUAAAACUCAAAGAAAUUGACGGGGGCCCGCACAAGCGGCGGAGCAUGCGGAUUAAUUCGAUGCAACGCGAAGAACCUUACCAAGGCUUGACAUAUACUGGACCGCAUCAGAGAUGGUGUUUCCCUUCGGGGCUGGUAUACAGGUGGUGCAUGGUUGUCGUCAGCUCGUGUCGUGAGAUGUUGGGUUAAGUCCCGCAACGAGCGCAACCCUCGUUCUAUGUUGCCAGCACGUUAUGGUGGGGACUCAUAGGAGACUGCCGGGGUCAACUCGGAGGAAGGUGGGGAUGACGUCAAAUCAUCAUGCCCCUUAUGUCUUGGGCUUCACGCAUGCUACAAUGGCCGGUACAGAGGGUUGCGAUACUGUGAGGUGGAGCUAAUCCCUAAAAGCCGGUCUCAGUUCGGAUUGGGGUCUGCAACUCGACCCCAUGAAGUCGGAGUCGCUAGUAAUCGCAGAUCAGCAACGCUGCGGUGAAUACGUUCCCGGGCCU
rnacentral:rRNA from 1 species